AAUGACUUGAAUACAGUUUGACUGUUUUCAUGAAGUGCUCUGCGGGAUGUCAGAAUAUUUAAUUCAGGAUGUUAAAAACAUCCCAAAAUGUCACAAUAAUUAUAUCACAGCAGGCAAUUAAAACACUGGAAAAUGCCAACUGACUAAGUGUGUUCUCUGUUGUUUAGGAAACUAAUGAGUGAGUGACACAUAAAGCAGAAAUACAAAUUGUAACCACAAAAUCCAAUAUAGAUUAUAAUUGAUUUUAAUAUACAAUGUGUAUUAAAAUAAAGCAACCUGUCUUAAAAAAACCCAAAGAAAAACUUAUUUAAAGCUGUCGUUUGAGCUUUAGGCUCUGCAAUUCCCCAGGCAUCAGAAACUGUUUUUAUGUUUCCUUUUCAUUAUUUAGUUAAUUAGUUAUAUAUUUGUGUUAUGACACUAUAAUAUGGACUUGUUGAUGAAACCCUUACUAACUACAAUGGUUCCAUUCACUUCACUGCAAUAACGUCUGCCAAAUUCUCCACGUGUCCUUAAAUUAGUCUAAGGGCAGCGAGGGAAGAUCUGUGUGCUUGUGGGGUGGAAAAUACAACUCCCUUCACAGCAGGUCAGAGGCACUGUAAAAUCUGCAUGGACCCAGGGAAGUUACAGCACAAGUAAGGAUGCUGAUUCCUAGACAGAAAACAACAGAGGCUUGGAGUUCUUCUAGAAGAAUUCCUGCAUCUGAAUGGCAAUGGGUUAAUUGAAGCUGCAAUUCAAUAAGAGAGAUGCUUUUGAUUUAAUUUGUACAGAGAUUUAAUCCAUAAUUAUUAAACCAACAUCCUAUUCUAGCAGACGCUAUGGAAAUAAACUCGUCCUAUUCAACUUAGGGGAAAGAAGUACUUCAAGAACCAUGACUAUUUAAAAAAAAAGAAAAAGAAAAAGAAAAAGAAAAAGAAAAAAGAAAAAGAAAAAGAAAAAGAAAAAGAAAAAAGAAAAAGAAAAAGAAAAAGAAAAAGAAAAAGAAAAAGAAAAAGAAAAAGAAAAAGAAAAAGAAAAAGAAAAAGAAAAAGAAAAAGAAAAAGAAAAAGAAAAAGAAAAAGAAAAAGAAAAAGAAAAAGAAAAAGAAAGGAUUUAAUAAAGAUGACAAUAGGCAAUUAUUCUCAUUAGCUAAUGAGCCUUGAAUAACUAUUAUUACUGCAACUGAAUUGCUUAAAUAACAGAAAAAUAUAUGAAGUGCCAGGCAGAAAAAGAAACUGUAAGAGGUAGCUGAGAAAUCACUGUCACUGCUCCUAUGCAAGGCUACAGUAGGUGACAGUCUCUUUGCUCCAUUUUAAGGUUUUCUGUGGCAACCAUUACAUGGGGUCUGACAGCAGUUUAACUGGGAUAAAUCAUCGUUGCUACUGAAGGGCAUGGCUUUAGUUGUUUAUUCUUGCCCCUUCCCUUGAGCAGACAUGAACAUUCAUGGAGCUGCAAGGUCAACUGGGUCUGGCAAUGGUCUGGUUAGAAACUAAACCCCCAACUGUAGUUUUCAUGGAUAUGAGAUCCCUGUUGGGUGCACCAUGUGUUUUCCUGAGUGCUAGUGCUAGCACAAGAGAGGGGAAAGGAACUGGGAAGGGGGGAAAGGAGACUGGCUUAACUCCUUCAGCAGUAGUGAGGAUCUAAACUGAAUGAAAGUAAUUGGGGAAUCAUGACAUAAAGGGUCGUGUUACAUUCAUGAUUGCAACAGUUCAGACAGGAUGAAUUAUUGCUGCAUUGAUCUGAGCACUGGAAAUGUCAGUAUUUAGCAGUCUUUUAAAAUUACUACUCUUUUCAGUUCCUUACAAUUUCUGGGCAUGAAAUAAUCUUCAGAUUUCUGAAACAGAGCUUCAUGAACUGAAUGCCUCAAAGCCAUCUCUGGAAAAAAAGGAGCAGUUAGACUGUUUACUUUGUAGACUCUGUUGCUUGUAUUUAAAAACUUAAACAGUAUUUUGCACUUCCUCGGUUGUUUUCUUACAUGUCCAGAGUUUUGGCUGUGGUUGGGGAUCCACUUAUAGCUGAGUUUCCUUUCUGUGUCUGGCAUCAUGUGGUGGUCAGUAAUCACUCAGCCCUUACAAUGCUUGCAUUGGGUGUUAUUUUGAGGUGUAUUAUCUUGCUUCUGGCUCUAUAUUCAUGUUAUUCCUUGGGCAGGUUGUUGAAUCUGAUAUCUGGCUUGUUAUACAGCGUUUGAGCACCACUUGCUGCUAGUAGACCAUCAAAAGCAUGAUUUUUGCUACUACUUCUGGGGGAAAAAAAAGGGAAGCACCCCUAUUAUUCUGAAGGGAAAAGGUUGAAAUCUUGUCUUUCCUCAUUUUGUUGCUGUAGAAUGUGCGUAUCAUACCCACUGGAAGGGUGAUACCUAUUGUCAGAGAAGUCUGACCCAGUGCCAUGAAAGAGACCAUGGUAUCCUGGGGGUCUAAAGGCUAAGUAGUUGAGGCAUAAAAAAUUAUGUUCUUCCAUGUCUCCACGUACAGACUAAGUGAACUGUUUUAAGUGUGUCAGCUUGAAUAACACUGAGGCUCCUAAUUCUGUCACUUUUACCUGCAUAGGUUCUUUUUCUUUUUUUUUGGUUAUAAAAACCUUCAGAGGUGUUCUUUUUGAGCCAUCAAGAAAUGUCUAGGAGUAGUUUGUCUUCUGGUGAUAGUUAUCUUAGGUAAGGACAUGGGAUAUGUAUGUAUUUGUUUGAGAUAUAUAGAAAAUGCUUAGAAUAUUUAUAUAUAUAUAUAUCUCUGAAAGAAUUUUUGCUUUGCAGGAAAGCCCAGGUAGAGUGAGAUAACCACUAAGAUUACUGGCUAGUUCCAUCGUGGUAAACCUUUUUGUUCCACAAAGGUUCUCAUCUACACAUGACAACACAAAUCCAGUCUGCUGUAAACAUGCUGAGGUGUUCUGGCCUUCACAGUUUUCCCAGCCUGAGAUUUUGACAGUGUUGCUGAGACUGUAAUCUUCAAUGUCCAGAUUGGAACCCCUUCAAUAGCAUCAGAGAUACAAG